GGAGGGUGCAAGCGUUAUCCGGAUUCACUGGGUUUAAAGGGUGCGUAGGUGGGAUGGUAAGUCAGUGGUGAAAUCUCCGGGCUUAACUCGGAAACUGCCGUUGAUACUAUCAUUCUUGAAUCUCGUGGAGGUAAGCGGAAUAUGUCAUGUAGCGGUGAAAUGCUUAGAUAUGACAUAGAACACCGAUAGCGAAGGCAGCUUGCUACACGAGUAUUGACACUGAGGCACGAAAGCGUGGGGAUCAAACAGGAUUAGAUACCCUGGUAGUCCACGCCCUAAACGAUGGAUACUCGACAUACGCGAUACACAGUGUGUGUCUGAGCGAAAGCAUUAAGUAUCCCACCUGGGGAGUACGACCGCAAGGUUG
rnacentral:rRNA from 1 species